rnacentral:rRNA from 1 species
GCGAAAGCGGGGCAACCCGCAAGUAGAGUGGCGAACGGGUGAGUAAUACAUCGGAACAUUUCCAGUAGCGGGGGAUAACCUGUCGAAAGAUAGGCUAAUACCGCAUACGACCUACGGGUGAAAGCGGAGGACCGCAAGGCUUCGCACUAUUGGAGUGGCCGAUGUCGGAUUAGCUAGUUGGCGGGGUAAAAGCCCACCAAGGCGACGAUCCGUAGCUGGUCUGAGAGGACGAUCAGCCACACUGGAACUGAGACACGGUCCAGACUCCUACGGGAGGCAGCAGUGGGGAAUUUUGGACAAUGGGCGCAAGCCUGAUCCAGCCAUGCCGCGUGAGUGAAGAAGGCCUUCGGGUUGUAAAGCUCUUUCGGUGGGGACGAAAAGGUUCGCGCUAAUACCGCGGACUAAUGACGGUACCCGAAGAAGAAGCACCGGCUAACUACGUGCCAGCAGCCGCGGUAAUACGUAGGGUGCAGGCGUUAAUCGGAAUUACUGGGCGUAAAGCGUGCGCAGGCGGUUUGUUAAGACAGAUGUGAAAUCCCCGGGCUUAACCUGGGAACUGCGUUUGUAACUGGCAAGCUAGAGUGUGGCAGAGGGGGGUGGAAUUCCAAGUGUAGCAGUGAAAUGCGUAGAUAUUUGGAGGAACACCAAUGGCGAAGGCAGCCCCCUGGGUUAACACUGACGCUCAUGCACGAAAGCGUGGGGAGCAAACAGGAUUAGAUACCC